UCUCUCCUUUUAUUUCUCCUUCUUGUUGACUGCAAUGUGGUAUGCAAGGGGCAUGUUUCACCCCUGUUUGUGUUACAUCUCUUUUAGCCCUGCCAUUUGGUGCAUCCAAGUUCUUGUCCUGUGUCCAAGAAGGAUGAGGUACAAGGACAAGUUGAGGGUGAGCAAGAUGAAGAGGAGCUUUAUUGACCAAUAGAACAGGUCAGAGGAGUCUUGCAUCAGUAGCUCCUCUCCACAGCCAGGGUGCCCUGAUGAGUGUUCAGCUCUCAGCAGAGAAGAGACCCUGGAGUGGGUAGUUCCUCUCCACAGUUGGUUGUCCCAGUGUCUUCUCAACUCUCAGGAGAGAGAU